rnacentral:lncRNA from 1 species
AUAGCGCUUUAAAAUGAUAUCUAGACGCACCGUUAGCCUAACCAAUACCUUUGAACAGAAAGGGAAAAGGAAGAGUAAAACUUACUAGUGCUUUUUGUGUAGAUUGACUCUGUAUCGACCAACAAGCCCUGUAUUCGUUAGAUAGAAGGACACUUUAUCGCUUUUCAAGUAGUAUGCUUUAAGGAAUCAUCAGGCUAAGCACUUUUAAGUAGAAUGAAAAACAAAUAAACGAUAAUAAAUAUUGUAUUUGUUGAUCAUGGACGCCGUAAAUGAUCCAUAUUAUUUUACUAUGUACGUACGUCCAUAUCGAAAAGACACGCCUCAGGAAUCAUCUUUAAAGUAAAGUAAGGGUUUUAAUAAAAAGAAUGUCUUUGUUUUUCUACGAUGAAGAAAGAUAUUGUUGAAAGGAUAUAUACUAUUCGUAACAGAAUGAAACCAAUUUCGAUCAGUAUACGGACGAAAGCAGCAAUGGGAAUGAGAUGAAUAUACGAUAACUUAUCAAAUAAUUCAAGUUUAGACAAUCACAGUCGUCCUUAAUAAAUUCUGCUAGAAGUAGUCAAACGUGGAGUUGACAAGUUGCAAGACGAGCCAUUGUUUAGGCAAAGGUGAGAAAUAGAAUAUUUGUGGCAUUAGGAAAGCUUUUGGACUUGCAAAUAGAAUUGCUUGAAAAUAAUGAGUGUAAAGAGAGGUAAAGUUGGCGAAUUUGUUGAGUCAGGGAUUGAACUUGAUUCAUCUAAAUGAUAAUGUUAUGGUAAGAUAAAAAGAAACUAGAAAAAAAUAGAAGAAAGUUUAUAAAGUGCAAUGACAUUGAAUUUACUCGACUCUCUUCCUAUUACACGACAAGCUCAGUUUAUGGAUGUUUAUUUGUCUACAAACAAUUCAUUCACGUGUGACUUUGAACUUGACCGGAAACAUGUUACAGAAGGUGGUUUGAAAGUAAAAUUGAUACGGGAAUGGGUGUCUUAUUGAAAAACUACAAAGCUGUACUCGAUGACUAUGGAAUGUCAUCAGGUGGAUAUACAGAUAGCUCUUUUUAAAUGUCGAGUGAGAUAUCGGUGGUUUAUUUUGAAGAAAAUUACUUAAAAAGUGAUUAAAGUAAUAAUAAGUAAUGAAAGUCAAAUAAAAGGCCUUACGAUUAUCUGCUCGUCAACUAUGGGUAUACAGGUGUAUCUCACACUAUGCUUGAAGAUUUCGCUGACGAUUAUAUAGACAAUGUCCAUAAACAGGUUAAAACCAAGCCUUUUUAAUUACGAACUUGACCAUUUCUGAAGACUGUAGAUACCUUAGAAGCUAAUCUCAUUUGUAUUACUGUAAGAGGCAAUUCGAAUCGACAAGAGUGUAGGUAGAAGAGUAUACCUAUCCAAAGAGUAUCAGAUGCUUUUACCAAUUUAAGAGUUUUCCAUGGAUAUGUAUUCAAUUUUAGGUCCAACUAUUUAACACUUGUGCGAACAUCGAUCAUGUCCGAUGCAGCAACUUGCUGCUGUCAUGUCGCUCAAACCAAACAAAAGAAAUGUGCCAAUUAACAAAAUAUUUCCAAUACUAUACUUGUAACGUUCUAGCAUUAAUACAUACCUUAAGGCACUACUUGCAAUCAGCCCAGUCAUGUCAAUCUCUUCAAUAUCUUGUUCGGGAUCCCGCUUGCGACCAGCGCAUUAUUUUUCUUAGAUUACUGACAUUAUAUAUUUCAAUUUGGAACAAAAAAACAAUCUGAUUUCGA